ACAGUAAGAGUCGAAAUUUGAAGUCCAAUUAGCCAAGCCCACAUUGACACGAGCCCAAGCACCAAGCCCAUCAACCAGCCCUAUAGGCUAUAACUAGAGCAUCUAACCAAAUUCCAUAAUCGAAGCUCGUUCGGUUUUCCUUCAAAAUGGCCCGACCAUCUGAGACUCGGUUCCAGCGUCUCUCCCUCCACCACCGUCUUCCAUAAACCACUUCCAAAACCCUUCCCUCUCUUUCUUCCUCCUUUAAUUCCCUAUAAUACCAUGCACCCGUUCCCACAACUUCUUCCCUGUCUCCGCCAAUCAUCUCCUUCCCUCCUGUCCUCGCGCGCCGCCGCUCCUUCUUCCUUGCCAAGCCACCACACCCGGAAUUCUAACCCGCUUUCUCUCACAGCAUCUUUGUUCAAAUUUCGAGAUAGAGAACAGAUCUUCUUUACUGUUCUUUCCUGGAUGUAUUUCACUAUUUCCUCUUCUGGGCUUCUGCAUGGGAUUGGGGGAAUUGCAUUAGGAUAAUACAUCAGGCAUCAGGCAUUCGGGAAAUGAAAAAACGUACUGGUUUAUCAAAGUCAAUAUGAUAUGAAUUUGGAUUUGGCACUGACUCUGGGCUAUUGGCAA